GAUCAUUCAAAUUUCUGCCCUAUCAACUUUCGAUGGUAGGAUAGUGGCCUACCAUGGUUUUGACGGGUAACGGGGAAUUAGGGUUCUAUUCCGGAGAGGGAGCCUGAGAAACGGCUACCACAUCCAAGGAAGGCAGCAGGCGCGCAAAUUACCCAAUCCCAAUACGGGGAGGUAGUGACAAUAAAUACUGAUACAGGGCUCUUUUGGGUCUUGUAAUUGGAAUGAGAACAAUUUAAAUCCCUUAAACGAGGAACAAUUGGAGGGCAAGUCUGGUGCCAGCAGCCGCGGUAAUUCCAGCUCCAAUAGCGUAUAUUAAAGUUGUUGCAGUUAAAAAGCUCGUAGUUGAACUUUGGGUUUGGCUGAUCUGUCCUCCUAAUCGAGCGCACGGAUUCGGUCGGACCUUUCCUUCUGGGGAACCCUAUGCCCUUCACUGGGCGUAGUGGGGAACCAGGACUUUUACCUUGAAAAAAUUAGAGUGUUCAAAGCAGGCCUUUGCUCGAAUACAUUAGGCAUGGAAUAAUAGAAUAGGACAUCGGUUCUAUUUGUGGUUUCUAGGACCGCUGUAAUGAUUAAUAGGGAUAGUCGGGGGCGUCAGUAUUCAAUUGUCAGAGGUGAAAUUCUUGGAUUUAUUGAAGACUAACUAUUGGAAAGCAUUCGCCAAGGAUGUUUUCAUUAAUCAGUGAACGAAAGUUAGGGGAUUCGAAGACGAUCAG
rnacentral:rRNA from 1 species